CGCCGCCGCCUCGCCUCGCCUCGCGUCUCUGUUUCCACCUUUUUUUUUUUUAACUUUUUGCUCCAAGCCAGCGACAAAUCCCCGGAUCUGGCGUCAGCGAGGAAGGAUACGGUGGCUGCGAGGACGUACACGCCGGAUCCGGGCCAGCACAACCACCAGAUGGGGGCCGCGGCGGCUGGACACCUUCGAGGUGCUGCCACGGGCAGGAGAAUAUCGCUGCAGACCCCAAGCUGCCGUCCACCACGAGGUGCUGCUACGGGUAGGAGGAGCUGCUGCCGCACACCACUAAGUGAUGCUACGGGCAGGCGGAGGUGUGACCACGACGACGUACCAGACAAGAAGAAACAAACAAAAUGCAUUUGAAGUGGCGUGUCGUGGCCGUGCUGGGAUGGUCGGUCGAUACCGCGCCGAUCCGGUUCGACGGGGUCGUCGACGACGUGCUGUGGGAACAGGAGACCGGGAUCUGGUCCCGGCAGUCCGGGGCAUGCUGCUGCUGCUCGUGCAGCAGAGCGACGGCCGCAUCGGCUCGUCCGGGGAGAGUUGCGUCGACCUGGUGGGCAGGUGAAGUCGUUCGACGGCAUGUAAGAGUUCUUCGUCCACUUCGACUACCCCAACGCAGAGAGAGGCGCAGUGAAUGAGAAUGUUGGCUUAGAAAUUCAGAACAUCCAAGAAGUGGUCGGGGAACUGGUUUUGGUAAGUGAACACGGUACAAAGUUAGUUCGGUUUAUGAUUUCGACGUGGUUUAAUGUCAUGAACCAUCUGUUUUGUUUUUGUAAUAUCUUUUUUUCCUAUCUAACAAGAGGUUAUUAUUGUUCAUUGCCCUGUAUCGGAUGGUUAUGCAGUAAGCCAGUAACAUGCUUUUGUGAACAAGCAAACAUUGAUGUUUAGAUCCUUUACAACAGUACAUGUAAUUAUCAUUUCACUCAUUUGAAAUUCCACACACCCAGUUCAUAUAUAUGAGGGUAUCUUGAGAAGAUCAGUUCUGCCACUGCUGUUGUUGGAGACAGAAUUGGAUGAGCUCUUCCUUUGUAUCAUCUUUCUUAUACUGAUUAGUGAAUAGUUGUUGCUGCUUUUAGCCCUCGUUUCCGUGAGAACUUGUUCAGAGUGUAGAAAAGAAAAUUAUGUGGCUAUAGAAGCAUAUAUGCCAUUCAGUAAAACACCAAAGAAAAAUAACUUUGAAAUCUAUAUAUUUAUUGAUUGUGCACCUAUUCCAUCUGCCAAGUAACUUCUGUGGGGUCAUCCUGAUCAGAAGUUUAUCCACCCAAAGAAAAAUUAAUUUUAUCCGAACUUCAUUUCAUUUAUUAUGUUCUCUCACAUUUUUUCAUUGUAUUAAUACAUGAGGAUUUUUUUUGUUUCUCUUGUUUAUUUUGAAAGUGAGUACCAGUUUUGAAUAGGCAUUAUCUUUGACCAUUUGAUAGUGAGUUGAAAGAAUAUUUCUCAUUUCCAAGUUCCUCGCUACCCCCACUCCUGUUUGAAGAUUGUCUAUUCCUUUUGUGAAUUCUCUUCAUGUCCUGAAGAGGAGGUUUCUGGACCCUAUUAUGCUUCAUGUCCUUUAUUCAAAAAUUAUUUUGAUGCCUGGCUGAUUAGUGCUGAAUCAGAUCUAGCACAGAAUCACAUUUUACAGCAUUGCCAUUAUGAGUAUGUUUAUACAGUUGUUGAGUACCUUUAAUUGAAUCAGCGGAUUGUCUCGUCUACCCUUUGUGUAUUAGUUAUCCUUCCAUUCCUUAUGGUGUUUUGAUUGAAUAGAAGCAGAUCAGGAGCCUUUGUUGUUGGUCCGCUCUAAUCCCAACCCUUUGUAUGAUAUUUUUGUCAUCUAGAUUUUCAUAGAUGGUUAUGUUGUAUGUUCAUAUUCAUAUGUUGGCUCGGAGAUCCCUUUUGUGGCUUCUACUUUAUCAUGAAGAUUGUUGACAAGGAUUGAGAAGACAUAAUUGCUUACUAAUUAGAUAUCCAUAGAUGGUUAUGUUGUAUGUUCAUAUUCAUAUGUUGGCUCGCAGAUCCCUUUUCUGGCUUCUACUUUAUCAUGAAGAUUGUCGACAAGGAUUGAUAAGAGAUAAUUGCUUACUAAUUGCUCGUGUGUUUUUCAUCUCAGUGCUUCUCGGUGCCCUUCAUAAAGAACUUUCUCCCCGGGUUGUCAAUCAAAUCUCCAGUUGGAAAUAUCAGUCUACAGGCCCGUCUGAUAAAAUUAACCUUUAACAAUCAACUGGAUGAUUAGCUGCUCCAUCAUGCUACAUACGCCUCUUUGUUGAGUGUUUUUCCCCGUUUUCUUGGAGAGUGCUACCUUUGCAAUGGUUUGGCCAUAAAUCUGUUGUCCGCACAAGUAGUACUGCUAAUUUGCCCUUUUUAAUGACGAUUUAUGCUUUCCGUACGCAAGUAUUUUAUUUGCAGUUUUGCAUUAGCCAAAUACUGAACUUCAGUGGGAGACAUUCACUGUUUUUCAGAUCUGAUGGAAAAACAAAAAAUAUGCCGCCAAUCGGCGUAAUUUUAUAACCGUUCUCGUCAUCUGAGUAACAUCAGAAAUGGCUAAUCUGACCGGUUUUGCUGCUUGUGUAGAACCGACGACAAGCUUGUUGGCGGACAUGUGGCAGGAUCGGUGAACAUCCUCUACAUGUACAACACCAGCUCAGUAUUUUCAGGUUAACUAUACUGAAGAGAACUUGCAGGACUCCAUUGAUCCAAACAAUGAUACACUCAUGGUCAGACUUGCAGACGGCUAUCUGCUCGCCGAAUGUUGCAUCAUGCUAGGAAUUGACAAAAGAGCCACUAUAACCACCAACUGGCCUGAGUUUCGUCGCCGCGCCAACAUUCGCGAGGGAAACAUCUGUGCAUUUCGUUUCAGGAUAAUUUCAAAGUGCCGCCUGGUCCUCACCGUGCACCUUCUAUAGAUGCACCAUCGAAGACGAUGCAGCCCCUGUGUCAAUAUAAUUUAGCACUAAGUACUCCUAAUUAUGUUACAUCCUGUGAUAACCUAUCGGUUACUUUUGGGUCCUCUUAUCACAUCUUUUCAAGACACUAAACCUACGCUGCUGCUUAUGUUAAGUGCACUAUUGUCAGUUAAAUGUUUCAUGUUCAGAUCCA